UUUAUUGGGUUUAAAGGGAGCGCAGACGGGUCGUUAAGUCAGCUGUGAAAGUUUGGGGCUCAACCUUAAAAUUGCAGUUGAUACUGGCGUCCUUGAGUGCGGUUGAGGUGUGCGGAAUUCGUGGUGUAGCGGUGAAAUGCUUAGAUAUCACGAAGAACUCCGAUUGCGAAGGCAGCACACUAAGCCGUAACUGACGUUCAUGCUCGAAAGUGUGGGUAUCA
rnacentral:rRNA from 1 species